rnacentral:rRNA from 1 species
UACAGAGGGUGCGAGCGUUAAUCGGAUUUACUGGGCGUAAAGCGCGUGUAGGCGGAAGCCUAAGUCCGAUCUGAAAGCCCCUGGCUCAACCAGGGAUCCGGACCGGAAACUGGGCUUCUUGAGGACGGCAGGGGAGUGUGGAAUUCCUGGUGUAGCGGUGAAAUGCGUAGAGAUCAGGAGGAACACCCAUGGCGAAGGCAGCACUCUGGACCGGACCUGACGCUGAGACGCGAAAGCGUGGGGAGCGAACGGGAU